rnacentral:rRNA from 1 species
UACGUAGGGAGCAAGCGUUGUCCGGAUUUAUUGGGCGUAAAGAGCUCGUAGGCGGUUCGGUAAGUCGGGUGUGAAACCUCCAGGCUCAACCUGGAGACGCCACCCGAUACUGCUGUGACUAGAGUCCGGUAGGGGAGCGUGGAAUUCCUGGUGUAGCGGUGAAAUGCGCAGAUAUCAGGAGGAACACCAGCGGCGAAGGCGGCGCUCUGGGCCGGAACUGACGCUGAGGAGCGAAAGCGUGGGGAGCAAACAGG